rfam:Triticum aestivum genome assembly, contig: Triticum_aestivum_CS42_TGACv1_scaffold_499694_6BL
CGUAGUUGCGACGAGGAUAAUAAGCUCCCUCUUCUGAAAGCAUUGAUGGCAUCGCUGGGAGAAUCAAACCAAUUAAAUAUUGCCAUCACUGAGCAA